UACGGAGGGUCCAAGCGUUAUCCGGAUUUAUUGGGUUUAAAGGGUGCGCAGGCGGUUCGUUAAGUUAGAGGUGAAAUCCCGUGGCUCAACCACGGAACUGCCUCUGAUACUGGCGGGCUAGAGAGAGGUUGCUGUGGGCGGAAUGUGUGGUGUAGCGGUGAAAUGCUUAGAGAUCACACAGAACACCGAUUGCGAAGGCAGCUCACAAAGCCUCAUUUGACGCUCAUGCACGAAAGCGUGGGGAGCAAACAGGAUUAGA
rnacentral:rRNA from 1 species